GACAAGUUCUCCCUAUGUUGCCCAGGCUGGUCUCACACUUCUGACCUCAAGUGAUCCUUCCAUCUUGGCUUCCCAAAGCACUGGAAUUACAGGUUUACACGCCUAGAAUGGAGAAUGAGUUGGCCCAGAUGAGCAUCAUGUGCCUGCUCUAGAGGCCAUGAAGUUGACAUCUUGGGAGUGGCUGGAGAGCAGAGCCUCACAUGGAAGCGAGCACUCUUCCUUCAUUCUUGAUGGGGUUGCCUGCAUGCGAGGACAAUGUAUUUUGAGCUGUGGCAAAUAUGAGGUAAUAAGCAUGGGGACAAAAGGCAACACGGAGAGGAUGGUUGAGUUGGAAGAAUAUAAAGAUUAGGGUUUUUGGACUUAAGCUAAAAAGCUUCUGCAUAAUAAAAGAAAUAAUCAGCAGAGUAAACAGACAACCCACAGAAUGGGAGAAAAUCUUCACAAUCUAUACAUCCAACGAAGGACUAAUAUCCAGAAUCUCCAAAGAACACAAAUCAGCAAGAAGAAAACAAUCCCAUCAAAAAGUGCACUAGGACAUGAAGAGACAACUCUCAAAAGAAGAUGUACAAAUGGCCAACAAGCAUAUGAAAAAAUGCCCAACAUCACCAGUGAUUAGGAAAAUGCAAAUCAAAACCACAAUGAGAUACCACCUUACUCCUGAAGGAAUGGCCAUAAUAAAAAAAAAAAUCGAUGUUGCGUGGAUGCGGCGAACAGGGAACACUUCUACACUGCUGGUGGGAAUGUAAACUAGUACAGCCACUAGGAAAACCGUGCAGAGAUUCCUUAAAGAACUAAAAGUAGAUCUACCAUUGGAUCCAGCAAUCCCACUACUGAAUAUCUACCAGAGGAAAAUAAGUCAUUAUAUGAAAAAGAUACUCGCACAUGCAUGUUUGUAACAGCACAAUUUACAAUUGCAAAAAUAUGAAACCAGUCCAAAUGCCCAUCACUCAAUGAGUAGAUAAAGAAAAUGUAGUAUCUGUAUACCAUGCAAUAGUACUUAGUCAUAAAACAAGAAUGAAAUACUGCCAAUCCUGGAUGGAAUUGGAGACUAUUCUAAGUGAAGUAACUUAGAAAUGGAAAACCAAACAUCACAUAUUCUCACUCACAUAUGGGAGCUAAGCUAUGAGGACGUAAAGGCAGAAGAAUAAUACAAUGGACCUUGGUGACUCGAGGGAAAGGGUGGGAGGUGGCAAGGGCUAAAAGACUACACACUGGCUACCGUGUACACUGCCUGGGUGAUGGGCACACCAAAAUCUCAGAAAUCACCACUGAACAAAUUAUUCAUGUAACCGAACACCACCUGUUCCCCAAAAAUCUAUUCAAAUAAAAAAAACU